rnacentral:rRNA from 1 species
CUGGCGGCGUGCCUAACACAUGCAAGUCGAGCGAUGAAACCCUUCGGGGUGAAUUAGCGGCGGACGGGUGAGUAACACGUGGGUAACCUGCCUUAUAGAGGGGGAUAGCCUUCCGAAAGGAAGAUUAAUACCGCAUGAAAUGUUUUUAUCGCAUGGUAGAAACAUCAAAGGAGUAAUCCGCUAUAAGAUGGACCCGCGGCGCAUUAGCUAGUUGGUGAGGUAACGGCCCACCAAGGCGACGAUGCGUAGCCGACCUGAGAGGGUGAUCGGCCACAUUGGAACUGAGACACGGUCCAGACUCCUACGGGAGGCAGCAGUGGGGAAUAUUGCGCAAUGGGGGAAACCCUGACGCAGCAACGCCGCGUGAAUGAAGAAGGCCUUAGGGUUGUAAAGUUCUGUUUUCUGGGACGAUAAUGACGGUACCAGAGGAGGAGGCCACGGCUAACUACGUGCCAGCAGCCGCGGUAAUACGUAGGUGGCAAGCGUUGUCCGGAUUUACCGGGCGUAAAGGAUGCGUAGGCGGAUGUUUAAGUGAGAUGUGAAAUACCCGAGCUCAACUUGGGUGCUGCAUUUCAAACUGGAUAUCUAGAGUGCAGGAGAGGAAAGCGGAAUUCCUAGUGUAGCGGUGAAAUGCGUAGAGAUUAGGAAGAACACCAGUGGCGAAGGCGGCUUUCUGGACUGUAACUGACGCUGAGGCAUGAAAGCGUGGGGAGCAAACAGGAUUAGAUACCCUGGUAGUCCAUGCCGUAAGGAGCCAGCGGCCGAAGGUGGGAUUAGUGAUUGGGGUGAAGUCGUAACAAGGUAACCGUAGGAGAACCUGCGGCUGGAUCACCUCCUUA